GACGUAGGGCGCGAGCGUUGUCCGGAAUUAUUGGGCGUAAAGAGCUCGUAGGCGGCUUGUUGCGUCGACUGUGAAAACCCGCGGCUCAACCGUGUGGCUUGCAGUCGAUACGGGCAGGCUAGAGGUAGGUAGGGGAGAAUGGAAUUCCCGGUGUAGCGGUGAAAUGCGCAGAUAUCGGGAGGAACACCGGUGGCGAAGGCGGUUCUCUGGGCCUUACCUGACGCUGAGGAGCGAAAGCGUGGGGAGCGAACAGG
rnacentral:rRNA from 1 species